UACGGAGGGAGCUAGCGUUGUUCGGAAUUACUGGGCGUAAAGCGCACGUAGGCGGCUAUUUAAGUCGGAGGUGAAAGCCUGGAGCUCAACUCCAGAACUGCCUUCGAUACUGGAUGGCUUGAAUUCGGGAGAGGAUAGCGGAAUUCCCAGUGUAGAGGUGAAAUUCGUAGAUAUUGGGAAGAACACCGGUGGCGAAGGCGGCUUCCUGGCCCAAUACUGACGUUCAGGUACGAAAGCGUGGGUAGCAAACAGG
rnacentral:rRNA from 1 species